rnacentral:lncRNA from 1 species
CUUCAUCCACCCGGAAGCCGGACUUCAGGCAAACUGUUACAAAAACUUUCUUGAAGCUUCUGUAAGCCUGGGCUGAUGUUUUGCCUAGCAUAGAUUUUAAUCUAACAGCUCUGUUCUCUCUUGUUCCUUCUUUAGGUCAUGAUUAAUCUCAGCCCUAAUGAUAAUUCAGCAUGAAACUGCAAAGCAGAGCGUAGCUUUCUGCAACUCAGAUUUGCUCUGGAAAUGAAAAGU